AAAACUGGGAUGAGAAUCCCCAUUAGAGAGGAGAAAGACUAGCUGGCUGUGGCUCUGUGGAUGCUGUAAUUCUAAGUGACAUUCUGGCCUCCCUGACACAGAGUUGACAAAUGACAAGCUGGCAACACUGGAAACAGAUUUCCCAUUGAUCCACAAAACAGGUACAGAAACAAAUGAGAAAUAGCAGAUUUCACUAAUUCCAUUCCCCAUUCUUGUCCAUCUAGCCACUCUCAAAUUGUGUCU
rnacentral:lncRNA from 1 species